rnacentral:rRNA from 1 species
UACAGAGGGGGCAAGCGUUGUCCGGAUUUACUGGGCGUACGAGCGCGCGCAGGCGGUUGCGUAUGGUGAGCAGGUGACCAUCCGCGGGCUCAACCCGCGGCGGCCCGCUUACACAGCGCGACUGGAGGCAGGGAGAGGGAUGUGGAAUACCCGGUGGAGCGGUGAAAUGCGUAGAGAUCGGGUGGAACACCAGCGGCGAAGG